UACGUAGGGGGCAAGCGUUGUCCGGAUUUAUUGGGCGUAAAGCGCUCGCAGGCGGCUCGAUGCGUCGUGCGUGAAACACCCCGGCUCAACUGGGGAGGGUCGUGCGAUACGGUCGGGCUGGAGGCCAGUAGGGGGAUGCGGAAUUCCGGGUGUAGUGGUGGAAUGCGCAGAUAUCAGGAGGAACACCGGUGGCGAAGGCGGAUCUCUGGGCCGAUACUGACGCUGAGGAGCGAAAGCGUGGGGAGCGAACAGG
rnacentral:rRNA from 1 species